AUGAUGAAGGAGGGGGAGGAUGAUGAAGGAGGAGGAUGAUGAUGAGGAUGAUGAUGAAGCAGAAGGAUGACGAUGGAGAAUGAUGGAGGGGGAGGAGGAUGAUGAUGAAGGAGGAGGAGAAUGAUGCAGGAUGAUGAUGAAGGAGGAGAAGAUGAAGGAGGGGGAGGAUGAUGAAGGAGGAGGAGGAGGAUGAUGAUGAAGGACGAUGAUGAAGGAGGAGAAUGACGCAGGAGGAGGAGGAUGAUGAAGGAGAAUGAUGAAGGAGGGGGAGGAGGAUGAUGAUGGAGCAGGAUGAUGAAGGAGGAGGAGGAUGAUGAUGAAGGAGGAGGAGGAGGAUGAUGAAGGAGGAGGAGGAGGAUGAUGAAGGAGGAUGAUGAAGGAGGAGGAGGAUGAUGAAGGAGAACGAUGAAGGAGGAGGAGGAGGACGAUGAUGAAGGAGAAGAAUGAUGAAGGAGAAGGAGGAUGAUGAAGGAGAAUGAUGAAGGAGGAGGAGGAGGACGAUGAUGAAGGAGGAGAACGAUGAAGGAGGAGGACGAUGAUGAAGGAUGACAAUGCAGGAGAAGGAGGAGGACGCAGGCUGACGAUGAAGGACGAUGAAGAUGAAGAUGAGGAUGAGGAAGGGCAGCCCCACCUCGUAGAAGUUCUCCUCGGUGACGUCCAGGGGGGCGUUGAAGAAGUGCAGGACGUUGCUGGGGUGUUGGAUGCGGUUCUUGGCCGCCUGUUCGGGCGUGGAGAAGCGAUUGUUGCGGGAACCGCUGAAAUCCUUGUAGCUGCAGGAGCCGUCCUCCAGCCCGUACGACUGUCCCGGCAUGAUGGCGUGCUGCUUGGAGACGCUGGGGAGGGAAAAACGGGUCAGAAAACCCCAAAAACCCCAAAAUCCACCCCAAAUCCACCCCAGAAACCCCAAAAUCCACCCCAAAAUCCACCCCAAAAUCCCCGUACGACUGUCCCGGCAUGAUGGCGUGCUGCUUGGAGACGCUGGGGAGGGAAAAAUGGGUCAGAAAACCCCAAAAACCCCCAAAAUCCACCCCAAAAACCCCCAAAUCCACCCCAAAAUCCCCGUACGACUGCCCCGGCAUGAUGGCGUGCUGCUUGGAGACGCUGGGGAGGGAAAAAUGGGUCAGAAAACACCAAAAACCCCAAAAAUCCACCCCAAAAACCCCCAAAUCCACCCCAAAAUCCACCCCAAAAUCCCCAAAAUCCACCCCAAAAUCCCCAAAAUCCACCCCAAAAACCCCGUACGACGGCUCGGCGCGAUGCGGCGCUGCUUGGAGACGCUGGGGAGGGAAAAACGGGUCAGAAAACCCCAAAAACCCCAAAAAUCCACCCCAAAAACCCCAAAAUCCACUCCAGAAACCCCAAAAUCCACCCCAAAAUCCACCCCAAAAUCCCCGUACGACUGUCCCGGCAUGAUGGCGUGCUGCUUG
rnacentral:lncRNA from 1 species